rnacentral:ncRNA from 1 species
AUUAAUGCGAUGAACAGGUGUAAGUAGAGUGUCCGUUUGAUGAAAGAGAGUGCACGGUCGGUGUGAGUGCAUAUCGGCGGGGAUUUGAAUUUCAGCCUGCGAGCACCCUGCGAGCAAUUAAGUAGGGCGUACACCUGCGAUAAAGGUAAGAGUGGCAUAUUUUAUGUAUGCAAUUUGAGUGGUACCACGGAAAUUUUCGUCUCAUAU